UUGAUAACUAGGUGUGUUGUAUGUUUGUCUUGAUAAUUCUUUUGAUAGAAUCAUGUUCCUUAAUAUAGUGCAUGCUGUCUGAAAUAAUCUUGAAAUUCCUUGUCUCUUUUUAAAACCAUCUUGCUUGUUUUUGUUUCCCUUUCAUCACUGUUUCUUUUCUCACCCUUUCUCAAGCUGACUGAAUCUUCUGAUGAGGUAACAAACAGCCUUGUCCCUCAUAGUUUCUUGUUCCUUCCCCUCCCUCUAACUUCGUGAGAUCAUUAAGACUAAUGACCACUUUAACAGUUUGGAUUUGACAUACCUUUCUUGGUGAUUCUUGUAUAACAUAGUUUCAUAUUUCCAUUGCCAAAAAUUUUUUUUUCCAAAUCAGGGGUAUUCUGAAAGAAAUACAGUGAUCAGAGAAAUGAAACAACUAUAGUGAUCAGAGUUAAAAUGAAGACUAAUUGAGUAUGUAUUUUAUGCAAUUUUAAUGAGAAAAUAGAUGCCUUUGAUAUUGAGAACUUCUCUUUCGUUGCCAUUGCUACAUUACAUAGACCUCACUACUACCUCACAUUAGCUGCCCAGCUAACAAUACCACUAUCCCCAGUUUUAAUUCGACCAGUGAACCUUAAAAAGAAUUAGAACCCAGCAUAAAAAACACCUUUCUAGCCUCUGUGAGAACCAACUCCAUUGCUUGACUGAGGACCUCAGACUCUCUUGGGUCUUUGCUAGAAGAAACACAGAAACCAGCACAUUUUCCCUCUUCAUCAGAUGUGUGAAUACGGCCCCCACUUUUCGAAGCAGAUUGCCCGGCUGCAGCCAUGGCUCCACCUGAGGAGGAACUGAAGAGAAUGGGCUCUGCAGAGGAGAGAAGGCAGAACUCUGUGUCAGACUUCCCACCCCCUGCUGGCCGGGAACUCAUUCUGCGCACCACCGUGCCCCGCCCCGCCCCCUACUCCCGAGCUCUGCCUCAGCGCAUGUACAGUGUUCUCACCAAAGAGGAUUUCCGACUGGCAGGUGCUUUUUCAUCAGAUACCUCCUUCUUCUAGUUCUUCCUGGGCCACCCCAUUGUGACUUCAAAGGCAGUGCUGACCCCUUCUGUGGGAAGGAGGUUGUGCUGGUCGGAACCCGGGAGGCAUGAAGAGGGCCUGUCCAGUUGAAUGAUCAAGCGUCGUACUGGCAUCUGAAAGACUUUCUGGUGCCAAGCUUGGGAAGGGUAGUAGCUUGUGGGGUCCGAGGUCAUGGGCUUGAACUAUUGAAAGAUUUCUUCCCCAAAGAGAUGGCCCUUGGGGUGGGGUUGGGGACCAAAAAAUGCAGGAGCUCUCUGUACUCACUCUGUUGUGUUCAAGAUUGUGUUCAUUUAUUCUUUCUGUGACUGUCCCUUAGGCUGUUGCCUUGCAUUUAUAGUCUGUGCAAACACUUCUUAUUUUUAUUAGUAUCAAGUAUGCAAAGUAGAGAAUCUGUUAACUCAGAUUUCUGGGUGUUUGGGAGGUAGAAUCUAUUCCCAGAAUCUGUGUUUUUAAUAUAUUAAAUGGCAUUCUGUUUAUUCAA